AGCUUUGCGCAGUGGCAGUAUCAUAGCCAAUGAGGUGCAACCGAGGCGUGAUUAUUGCUAAUUGAAAACUUUUCCCAAUACCCCGCCGUGAUGACUUGAAAUAUAGUCAGCAUUGGCAAUUUCCCUAGACGUACUCCAUGUCAGUACG